GUUUAUAAAAACGAACCCGACUGCUCUCUCGCAAGAGAGAGCGUUGAUCUGGGCGCUCGUCUCCAUCUCCUACGCGCUCUUUCGAGAGUGUCGCAGGCAGUGUGAUACGUCGCCUCAAACGAAACGCAAGAAAAUUGAUGAAUUCGUUCGUCUAGCUGGCGCGCGCGCUUACCGCUUGGAGAGUACGCGAGUACUUCCGAUCGUUCUGCGUCGAGUCCCGGAGCUUUCUCGCACACGACUACUCGUCGCGUCGAGCACAGCGGACCGACGUCUAGCACACGAUCAGGCUCGUCCAUGCAUCGGUCAUUGAAUGCGCGCGUGCCUUGUUGUUGUUGUUG
rnacentral:misc_RNA from 1 species